rnacentral:lncRNA from 1 species
UGAGGCCUCUGCGCCAGCAGCCCCCCACGCGGACGCGGACGCGAACCCGCGCUCUGUCUCCCGAAGCGAAGCUCAGAGGAUGACUCAGGUUCUCCCCUCCAACAGUUUCCUGUGACAUUCAUCCAGGCUCUCUGUCUACCAAGAAGAGCAAGUCUCACAGGUAUGGAUCUCUGGCGGGUGUUCUUAACCUUGGCACUGGCGGUCUCCAUCGACGCAUUUUCUGGAAAUGGGGGUGACUUUCAGUCCACGGGGCAAGGCUUGAGGAAUUUUAAAGUCUGUGAAGUGAAAAGUACAGCAUAAGAAUCUUUAAAAAGGCUGAAGAAGGCAUCCCAGACUAAGACAUUAGAGCUCAAAUUAUAUUUCAACCUAGAGAAUUUCCAGGACCUAUUCAAAAGCUUAAAUAUUUGAACAACCUUCAACUUCAUAAAGAGGGGAGGUCACAAAAAGUUAAUGACUUAUUUCAAAUGAAUUAAAUUGUAUAUAUUUAUGGUAUACAGAAGGAAAUGUGGUGACCUAGUUUGGGCCUAUACGCGUGUGUGUGUGUGUGUGUGUGUGUGUGUGUGUGUGUGUACAUAAUUACCCAUUUUCUCUGUGGCAAAAGAAGUCAUCUUCUACUUGUAUAACAGAAAUCCUGAAGAUAAUACUCUGUCUUUAACUAUAGUCCUCUUGGUGUCCAUUAAAUCACUAUACUUGUUAAUACUACAUAUUUGUCACUUUGUACCCUACGAAUGACAGUCUGUCAUGCCUUUCCCCUACCUGGAUCUGGUAAACACUGUUCUCUGUAUACAUUUGGUUUUGCUUUUUAAAAUUGUACAUUAAUGCAGUUGUGUUUGUUCUUCUUUCUAGAGCUGACCUAUUUUUACAUAGACUGAUGUCCUUUAGGUCCACUCAUACUGUGGCAAGAUCUUCAGUCUUAACCUGUCCUGUUUCCUGUCUUGACCAUUGUGAAUAAUGCUGCAGUGAAUAUAAGAAUAAAGUCCCUUACACCAACUGGGGAUUUCAGCAGCUAGUUCCAAAAACAGCUUAGUAAUUUUCUUUUUAAUAAUUUGUGUUGGC